rnacentral:miRNA from 1 species
UUCGGCAAAAUGUACUCUUGCAA